GCGUGCUUAACACAUGCAAGUCGAACGGUGAUGAUGGGGCUUGCCCUGUCUGAUCAGUGGCGAACGGGUGAGUAACACGUGAGUAACCUGCCCCUGACUCUGGGAUAACCGUGGGAAACGACGGCUAAUACCGGAUAUGAGACGCCCACGCAUGUGGAGCGUCUGGAAAGAUUUAUUGGUCUGGGAUGGACUCGCGGCCUAUCAGCUUGUUGGUGGGGUAAUGGCCUACCAAGGCGACGACGGGUAGCCGGCCUGAGAGGGCGACCGGCCACACUGGGACUGAGAUACGGCCCAGACUCCUACGGGAGGCAGCAGUGGGGAAUAUUGCACAAUGGGCGAAAGCCUGAUGCAGCGACGCCGCGUGGGGGAUGAAGGCCUUCGGGUUGUAAACCCCUUUCAGCAGGGAAGAAGCGAAAGUGACGGUACCUGCAGAAGAAGCGCCGGCUAACUACGUGCCAGCAGCCGCGGUAAUACGUAGGGCGCAAGCGUUGUCCGGAAUUAUUGGGCGUAAAGAGCUCGUAGGCGGUUUGUCGCGUCUGCUGUGAAAUCCUGAGGCUCAACCUCGGGCUUGCAGUGGGUACGGGCAGACUAGAGUGCGGUAGGGGUGACUGGAAUUCCUGGUGUAGCGGUGGAAUGCGCAGAUAUCAGGAGGAACACCGAUGGCGAAGGCAGGUCACUGGGCCGCAACUGACGCUGAGGAGCGAAAGCAUGGGGAGCGAACAGGAUUAGAUACCCUGGUAGUCCAUGCCGUAAACGUUGGGCACUAGGUGUGGGGCUCAUUCCACGAGUUCCGUGCCGCAGCAAACGCAUUAAGUGCCCCGCCUGGGGAGUACGGCCGCAAGGCUAAAACUCAAAGGAAUUGACGGGGGCCCGCACAAGCGGCGGAGC
rnacentral:rRNA from 1 species